UACAGAGGUCUCAAGCGUUGUUCGGAUUCAUUGGGCGUAAAGGGUGCGUAGGUGGCGCCGUAAGUCAGGUGUGAAAUUUCGGGGCUUAACUCCGAAACUGCAUUUGAUACUGCGGUGCUUGAGGACUGGAGAGGAGACUGGAAUUCACGGUGUAGCAGUGAAAUGCGUAGAGAUCGUGAGGAAGACCAGUGGCGAAGGCGGGUCUCUGGACAGUUCCUGACACUGAGGCACGAAGGCCAGGGGAGCAAACGGG
rnacentral:rRNA from 1 species